rnacentral:rRNA from 1 species
GUGACGAAGCGACGCCGCGUGUGGGAAGAAGGCCUUCGGGUUGUAAACCACUGUCGGGAGUUAAGAAAUGUGAGGAUGUUAAUAGUGUCCUUACUUGACUAAGGCUCCGGAGGAAGCCACGGCUAACUCUGUGCCAGCAGCCGCGGUAAUACAGAGGCGGCAAGCGUUGUUCGGAAUUAUUGGGCGUAAAGAGCACGUAGGCGGCUGUGUAAGUCGGUUGUGAAAGCCUUCCGCUUAACGGAAGAAUUGCGGCCGAUACUGCAUAGCUAGAGUGCGGGAGGGGAGAGUGGAACUUCUGGUGGAGCGGUGAAAUGCGUAGAUAUCAGAAGGAACGCCGGCGGCGAAAGCGACUCUCUAGACCGUAACUGACGCUGAGUGUGCGAAAGCUAGGGGAGCAAACGGGAUUAGAUACCCCGGUAGUCCUAGCCGUAAACGAUGGGCACUAAGUAGAGGGGUUUU